UUGAAUAUACUGCAUCCCUCCUGCCACAGCUUUACCUCCCCCCCCACACACACACACACCUUUUCCCUCUGGGGAGUACUGACAUCUCCACCUGUCUGCUUGCCUUGAUUACCACUGCUACCACUUACUGCUAACAAUGCAACCUCCUGAGCUGACUGAGUGGGUGGUGCCCGCCCAGGCUGCAGCCCCCAUCUGGUCACAACCAGACCUGAUGCUGUGAGUCUGGAAGUUCUGAGUGCUUGCUCCUUUGUGACCUGGAAACCUAGAAUCAUCAAAGUCCAGGGGCAAGAGAGUCAGGAUGACUGGUGAGAGCCUGGGAUUCAGUGAUUUGGGCUGCAUCUUUGAUGUCUGACCUGGCUCCAAGAACUUCACAGCUUUGCUUCAGCUGCAGCUGCCUUCCUGGCUAUUGAAAUAAAUUAUUCUCAUCUGCCCAUUCCAUGGUUGGGGCAAACAA